CUUUGCAAAAGGUAAGUUCAAAACAUUAUUAUUGUGAUAUUACAAGAAAGGAAAUAUGAACAAAAUGAUAGUUUGUGAUCAGAUGAUGUUAUUAAAGUUGAUUUAUGUAUUUUACUCGAUAUUGUCUACGACUUUAGCCAUGAGUUGCAAAAUUUACCCUCCAUCAGUAGAACAAAGUUGUUUCUGCUUGUGUAUUGAUCAGUGGGUCAUUGAACAUAAUGGUUUGCCUACGCCGGAGGCCGCACGACUAUGUCGUGAGGAUUUAUAUACAGACUUUCAAUGUCCCGUUAAGGAUUCAUAUGAUGAGACCGUUGAUAAAACAUCCUUUUCAGAACCUGUUUUAGAAUGCGAUUCUUUAAAAUUUCUAGACUACGGUCACUCAUUUUAAUGUAAUUUGCAUCUUUAUUAUUUUCUCAUGAAAAUAAGUAUACAUUAAUUUAAUGUUCUAA